AAGAUUAAACUGAAGAGUUUGAUCAUGGCUCAGAUUGAACGCUGGCGGAAUGCUUUACACAUGCAAGUCGAACGGCAGCAUAGAGAGCUUGCUCUCUGAUGGCGAGUGGCGAACGGGUGAGUAAUAUAUCGGAACGUGCCUAGUAAUGGGGAAUAACUAGCUGAAA
rnacentral:rRNA from 1 species